AUUGAACGCUGGCGGCAUGCUUUACACAUGCAAGUCGAACGGUAACAGGCCGCAAGGUGCUGACGAGUGGCGAACGGGUGAGUAAUGCAUCGGAACGUGCCCAGUCGUGGGGGAUAACUACUCGAAAGAGUAGCUAAUACCGCAUACGAUCUAUGGAUGAAAGCGGGGGACCGUAAUGCCUCGCGCGAUUGGAGCGGCCGAUGUCAGAUUAGGUAGUUGGUGGGGUAAAGGCUCACCAAGCCAACGAUCUGUAGCUGGUCUGAGAGGACGACCAGCCACACUGGGACUGAGACACGGCCCAGACUCCUACGGGAGGCAGCAGUGGGGAAUUUUGGACAAAGGGCGCAAGCCUGAUCCAGCAAUGCCGCGUGCAGGAAGAAGGCCUUCGGGUUGUAAACUGCUUUUGUACGGAACGAAACGGCUCUGGUUAAUACCCGGGGCUAAUGACGGUACCGUAAGAAUAAGCACCGGCUAACUACGUG
rnacentral:rRNA from 1 species